GGGGGUACAGCUCAGUGGUAGAGCAUAUGCUUAGCAUUCACAGAGGUCCUGUGUUAAAUUCCCAGUACCUCCA
rnacentral:tRNA from 1 species